UCAUAGGUACACUUCAACUGUGAGAGACGGAAUCAAAAACAAAAAUCCAGAAAAUCACAAUGUAUGAUUUUUAAGUAAUUCAUUUGCAUUUUAUUGCAUGACAUAAGUAUUUGAUCACCUUCCAACCAGUAAGAAUUCCGGCUCUCACAGACCUGUUCGUUUUUCUUUAAGAAGCCCUCCUAUUCUCCACUCAUUACCUGUAUUAACUGCACCUGUUUGAACUCGUUACCUGUAUAAAAGACACCUGUCCACACACUCAAUCAAACAGACUCCAACCUCUCCACAAUGGCCAAGACCAGAGACCUGUGUAAGGACAUCAGGAGUAAAAUUGUAGACCUGCACAAGUCUGGGAUGGGCUACAGGACAAUAGGCAGGCAGCUUGAUCCUUCCAUGUUCACAAACCAUCCAGACCCUCUUCACAAGUACAAUAAAGCCCAUAAAUAAGAUUUUUUUUAUUUUUUUU